AGUGAACGCUGGCGGCGUGCCUAAUACAUGCAAGUCGAACGAAGUGGCUCACGGAUGAGUAAUAUAUAGUUAAUCUGCCCUACCCAGAGGAACAACAGUCGGAAACGACUGCUAAUACCUCAUAGUCUAGGAUGAGACUAUAUCGUAUCAGCUAGUUGGUAAGGUAAUGGCUUACCAAGGCUAUGACGCGUAACUGGUGUGAGAGGAUGAUCAGUGACAUUGGAAGGGAGACACGGUCGGAAAUCCUACGGAAGGUAGCAGUAAGGGAUAUAGCGAAGUGGGGGAAACCCUGACGCAGCACCGCCGGGAGGAGGAUGACAAUUUUCGGAGCGUAAACUCUUUUUAAUAGGUAAGCGGUACCUGAUGAAUAAGCAACGGCUAACUCCGUGCCAGCAGCCGCGGUAAUAC
rnacentral:rRNA from 1 species